rnacentral:lncRNA from 1 species
CCAAAUGACCCGAGCUGUGUCCUUAAUCUGCAGACUCUCCCCUGGUCUGGUUCUUUGGUGGCUGGUGCUGGCGCCGGUGACAUCUCUCCUUCCACCUCCAUGUGUAUUGCAGGGCUCAAAACUCAGAUUAACUGGCUGAGUAUCUUUUCAGGGUAAGAUCCAAGGACUUCCAAAAGAGGGACAUGUUACGAUAAAUCUUUCCGUCAAAAGCUGCCAAGCCCCAACCGCCACGUGUAAGCUUUACGCCAACCGUCCGCCUGAGUUAGCCCAAAUGAAUACACACAAACUUGUAUUAGGUACAAAGCUGCUUGGCCAAUGACUAGGACUUCUCAUCUGUUAGCUCAGUCUUAACUACCAUAAACCUAUAUAUUUUAUAAGACUUAUCUUAUCGGAAGCCUUGUUGGCCUCCCUCCUUGCCCGUGGCUCACAUUGUGCUGCUGGAGCAGGAGCGGAGGGGAAAAGGAGACACACUUCCUGUUUCCUGCUUAGAUAUGAGUCUCCUUGCCAUGUCACUUCCUGCCUGGAUCAUCACUUCUAUACUACAUUUCCCAGAAUCCUCUUUGACUCCUAGUUCUUGCUUGCCAUUGGCCAAACAGUAUUUUAUUUAACAAUCAAUAAGAUAAACAUACACAGAAGUACUUCCCCCAUCAUCUCCUCUUUUCUGUCUAAAAUAAAAAGAAGGGUAACUUAUCUUUUAUAAUAACUGAAGAAAACUAUAACCAUAAUUAUCUGUCUUCAACUCUAUCAAAGACCACAGAAGGAAAAUAUAUGAACUCUAGAAUUGACAGAGACUUCUCGCUACCUGGACAGUCACCCAAAGUUCCUCUGUAAUGUUGGGGCAUCCAUCUUCAGCCCAUAGGCCACAGUGUGUCUGGCACACUUCUCCAUUUCAGCUGGAACCCUUCAGUACUGUCUUGUUUUGAAUGGCUGGCCAGCACUACCCGGAAUGAAUGGAUCAUAGUGAUGAGUGCAACCCUUGAACAACUCUCAAGCUGUGCCCUUCUUGAGUCCCUCCUGCUGACCUUGGGCAGCCCUGUGCUUGCUAGUGAUUUCUUGGAUCCAAAACAAGAUCUGUGUAUUUAUUUCUUUGAAAACAUCAUUUGAAUAGUGGAGAGGCCACCUUAAAAAGCUCUUCUCUGAUAAUGAGAUUGAUGACUACCUUAUAUGCCAUCCUAGAGCUUUCAUCCAAUAGCUGAUGGAAGCAGAAGCAGACACCCACAACUAAACACUGGCUGAACCCUGGAACCCAGUUGCAGAGAGGGAAGAGUAAUGAGUAAAGGGGUCAAGACCAGGCUGGAGAAAGCCACAGAAACAGCUGACCUGAACAAGGGGUUGUUCAUGGACCCCAGACUGAUAGCUAGGAAACCAGCAUAGGGCUGUUCCAGACCCCCUGAACGAGGAUGUCAGUUUGGAGGUCUAGUUAAUCUAUGGGGCAGCAGUGGAACAGCAUUUAUCCCUAGUGUACUUAUGGACUUUGGGAGCCCAUUACACAUAGAGGGAUACUCUCUCAACCUAAACACAUGGGGGAGGGUCUAUGCCCUGCUCCAAAUGAUAUGACAAACUUUGAAGAUCCACCAUGGAAGGCCUCACCCUCCCUAGGGAGCAGAAAGGGGAUGGGAUGGGAG